rnacentral:lncRNA from 1 species
CCAUGGUACCCAGCCCCAGCUCUGCAGAGGCUUUUGUUCAAUUAUUGAUGUCUGGGGAAGGAAGCCCGUGGGCUGGCUGGGCUAGGAUGGAAGACAUGAUCCAGGUGAAGCAGGAAAACCAUCAGGAAGGGAGAAGAGGGGGCCUAGUCAGGUCUGUCCAUGUUGAUCAACCUGAAAACAUGUCCAGGAGAGGUGAUUAAAUGAAAAAGCAGCUUACAGAACAGCUCCAAGGGUGAGAUCAUUAAACUAUAGCAUGUGUGUGUGAGAGACAGACAGAAAGAGAUUUCAGAGACUUUCACCCAAAAAGUGAAUGGGGGUUAUUUCUGAGUGUUAGGAUUAUGAAGAAUUUCUAUGUUCUUCAGGCUUUCUGGAUUUCUUUAUUAAUAAGUAAUUACUAUUUUCAGAACCUGAAACACCAGUUCCUGGAGGGGGAGCAGGGAGAGGAAGAAGAUGCAAACAAAGAUCAGAAAGGGAUGUCCAAGGCUGGUGUUCAUGUGAGCAGAGGAGAGAAUUCCAGAUUGAGGAACAAACAAAGACACCAGGUAGGUACCAUCCUUUCUUAUCCUUAUCUACCCAACCAGUGCUUUGGCAAAUUACCUCCUUAUGGCCAGUACAACUGCCUAAAAUCUUUUACUUACAGAUUAAUUCCUUUGAGUCACUCCUUAUCAUUUCAUUCAUUUUACAUGAUAAGUGAGCACUCAGAUAUACCAGAGAGAAUGCUAAUCUCUGCAAGUGGGACAUGAGAGAUUCAGUCUCUGACCCCAGGAAUUUCAAGUACAUUGUGGGAAGCAGCCAUAUUCACCUACAACACAGCAUAACAUGUGCUGUCAGAGAAUAGGCUUUGGAGCCCACAAUGAAGUGAAAGAUCUCUCAGCCUUGCUGUUAAAGUCCUUAAAAUAUUGGCCAUAUCAUCAGGAAGUCAACAGGGUUAUCACAGCACACAAAGCAACGCAAUUUCCUGGGUGCUGUUGUUACUUCAGUUAGAGGGUUUGAGGGUGAGUGGGCUGGAAUUCCAGCUGUUGGCUCUUUUUUGCAUUUCUAUUCUCCAGGGAUGCCUGGUUACAAUUCCCAGGCCAAAGCCCUCUGACCGAACAAAUGGUCAGAGUCUACUUGGAUAGGCUAGUUACGUUUUAAUGAGGGUACUCAGCUGCAUGAAUUUAGGAACUGGAACUGAAUGGCUUGGGACAAGUGUAGCCUCAGCAGGGAGGUUGAGAGGAGACUGACCUGGGCAGGGUGUUCAUCAGUUCAGUUCAGUUGCUCAGUCGUGUCUGACUUUUUGAGACCCCAUGAAU